GGCAACAUGGCCGAGUGGUCUAAGGCGCUGGAAUUAGGCGGCACUAGCUGCGAAUAAUCCAGUCCGAAAGGGCGUGGGUUCGAACCCCACUGUUGUCA
rfam:Amanita muscaria Koide BX008 unplaced genomic scaffold scaffold_6, whole genome shotgun sequence.